CGAUAGCUCAGUCGGAUAGAGCAUCUGCCUUCUAAGCAGGGGGUCGGGAGUUCGAAUCUCCCUCG
rnacentral:tRNA from 2 species